UCCAUCCUCGUAACUUCACCUUCGUCGUAGUAACUGCUGAGAUACAGCACACACACCGGAGUCAUUAGGCGCGCUCGUUAGCGUUAUAAUAAGCAGCGGUCACAUUGCAUCAUAGGUGCAUUUCAAAAUAAAA